rnacentral:snRNA from 1 species
GGGAGUGAAGAUGAUCCUACUGGGACACCAGGCACCCCACUGAUGGCCUGGGUUGAUUUUAUUGAUCGAAUCAGCUGACUAGAUGUCUCCCUCCCUCCUCACCUUCCUACAUGUGUCCUUCCUGGGGCUGCAUAGAGAGAAGAGCCUUCCCACAUAGAGCAUUGUUCUUUGACGAGAAGUGUGUGAUGACUUUGUCUGUUAUCUGGGAUUCUAAGAGAAUAUGGUGUUCUGGUUCAUCUUAUUGAAGUAACUAGAAUACUGAACAUGAAUAUUAUAAUUUUUCAAGCAAAAUACAUUAUAUUAAAAUGAAGUAAGUACAGUGUAAUCUUCUUU